UACAGAGGCCCCAAGCGUUGUUCGGAAUUACUGGGCGUAUAGCGGAUGUAGGCGGUUAUUCUAGUCAGAUGUGAAAGCCCGGGGCUUAAACCCGGAACUGCAUUUGAAACUGGAUAGCUCGAGUGCGAGAGAGGAAAGUGGAAUUCCCGGUGUAGGAGUGAAAUCCGUAGAUAUCGGGAGGAAUACCAAUGGCGAAGGCAGCUUUCUGGCUCGUAACUGACGCUGAGAUCCGAAAGCGUGGGUAGCAAACAGG
rnacentral:rRNA from 1 species